CAUAUCAAAAAGCGGAGGAAAAGAAAAUAACAAUGAUUCCCUUAGUAAUGGCGAAUGAAACGGGAACAGCCCAUCGCAGAACUGCUGGCCAUACAGGUCACGCGGAAUGUUGCGUUUGGAAGGGUCUCUUCCAAGGCUCAGACGCCUGUUAAAGUCCAACUUGACAGUGGCCACAGCCCAUAGAGGGUGCUAGGCCCGUAAGGUGGGCGUCUGACUUUGCUGACCUCUUCCCCGAGUCGGAUAGCUUGAGAGUGCUGUCCAAAGUGCGAGGUAAACUCCUCGUAAGGCUAAAUAUGACCCCAAGACCGAUAGCAAACAAGUACAGUGAUGGAAAUUUGAAAAGAACUUUGAAGAGAGAGUUAAGAGUACGUGAAACUGUAUGGCAGUAAACACAGCCUUCCUCGAAGUUUUCCUGGGAGACCCAACCUAGGGGUGGGCCAGCCUCUGGCGCUUGAUCAGCAAUGACGGGCGUCGGGGUGCCUGGCUUGCCCACGGGUGCAUCUCUUCCGGGUUUUACGGUAGGAACUGUUGGGGCUGGACCUAGGGCCUGGGAUGAAGUUUUCGCUCCGGCGUCAGCACCCGGUGUCCCGGCUCCGGACCCGACAGGCAUAGUGGCCGACUUGUACAGCAAGCAACGCUUCUGUUGCGGUUGGCCCUUCCCUACCGAGUAGGUCGGCGGAGGCUGUGACCCGUCUUGAAC
rnacentral:rRNA from 1 species